rnacentral:lncRNA from 1 species
CUUUUAUAGAAUUUCCUUAAAUAGAAAGGUGCCUUUCAUAAGUUCAAAGUGAAGGCCAUUUGGCCUGCUAAUACAUGAGAAAAAUAAUUAGUUAUUCAUGAAAUGUAUGGUAAGUAUGAAGCAAAUAAGUUUUUUAGAUUAUUGUUUUGAACUACCUAGACCACAAAGCCCCUCAGCAUUCUGAGGAUAGGGACAUGUGAUACAUCACCUAUGCACUAAUGUUUUUUACUUUCAGGGGACCUCUUAGCUUAUCAGGAGAAAGCUACAUGAAGAGUUUAAACAAGAAAACCCUUUGGUUUUGAAGUAAUUUAAGAACUACAAAGAAGAUGUGAAAACAGUAUGGAUUCCAUAUAACCAUCACCCAGCUUCCACCAAUGAUAUUGUGCACAACCAUAGUAGAAAGUCGAAACCAGAAAAUUAACACUGGUCCGAUUCUAUUAACUUAGAUACAAAACUUAUUUGAAUGUUUAUGGAGGAUCUUUUCUAAUCUUGAAGUUGGGAGCUAAUUGGGAUCAUAUCUUGGUUCCAUUAAUCAGGCAAAUGAGACAAACUUACAGAUUAGUAUAUAAAGCUCUAAUUUAUAUAAUUAUUUUCCUUUUCAAAUAAUUUUAGAAUUUAAGAAGCUGUUAGUUUCUACCUACCUAGAAGUCUGGUCUACGCAUUCUGAAAAAGCAAAACACAAAGCCCUUCACAGUUCUAAAGAAAUGCAGAUAUGAGAAUCCCUGAUUUUAACCUCUAAGCUCAAGGCCCAUAUUUCCCUGAGAAAUGAAUUCCUCCUUUUCCUGUUAGUUCUGGAUAUUGCUGUGCAUUAGUGUUGAAAGGGAAAUAAAGCUGAGGCAGGCCCGAAAUUCAGCAAGCACUUAGACUCCAGCUAGAGGAGGACUACGACAGAGAGGAGCCAUCCACAUGCCUAGGGAGGGCCUGAAGGUCCUGUGAGAGACAUCCUUACUUGUGCUCCUUCAGCCUUUGCAAGUGCAGAAGCCACCUGCAGCCGGGCUGGUCACACACAGAAGGGCACAUACCACCUGUUCCUCACCCAGGCGGUAUUCUCCUUGCCGCAAAGCCUCCCGACUCACCACUUCUUCCAGUUCUGAAUGUGACAAAUUCGCAUCAAGUGAAAUUUGUUAAUUUGACGUAACAAAAAGAUAUGCAAAAGCGUUCUUUAAAAAAACAUCUAAAAAUACUAACACAAAGUCAGCUAUAAGUGAGGUACUGUCAUUUUUUCUGUUUCAUUAACUGAACGCUUCUGUUUUCCUCUUUUGUGUAACCCCACCCUGCAGGGUGGUCCACUUGAACUAAUGAAAUAUGGCUUUAAGUGUAUCAGGGUGGAGAUGACUCAUGCUCCAUAAUUAGAGUGCCUUGGGACUGAAAAACAGAGCUUUUGGUUUCAGGGCCAUCCAGGUUUCACUUUUGAUUCUUUAUAAGAUUUUUCCAAAAUGUGAAGAUCUUGUUCCAGAGAAUAAAAA